CACGCCGUAAACGAUGGAUGCUAGGUGUAGGAGGUAUCGACCCCUUCUGUGCCGGAGUGAACACAAUAAGCAUCCCGCCUGGGGAGUACGGCCGCAAGGUUGAAACUCAAAGGAAUUGACGGGGGCCCGCACAAGCAGCGGAGCAUGUGGUUUAAUUCGAAGCAACGCGAAGAACCUUACCAGGUCUUGACAUCCAAUUAAAGCGGUAGAGAUACCGUGUCCCUUCGGGGGAAUUGAGACAGGUGG
rnacentral:rRNA from 1 species